rnacentral:rRNA from 1 species
UUGAAGAGUUUGAUCAUGGCUCAGAUUGAACGCUGGCGGCAGGCUUAACACAUGCAAGUCGAGCGGAAACGAUGGGAGCUUGCUCCCAGGCGUCGAGCGGCGGACGGGUGAGUAACGCGUAGGAAUCUACCCAGUAGCGGGGGAUAGCCAGUGGAAACGCUGAUUAAUACCGCAUACGCCCCACGGGGGAAAGGAGGGGAUCUCUUCGGAGACCUUUCACUAUUGGAGGAGCCUGCGUUGGAUUAGCUAGUUGGUAGGGUAAAGGCCUACCAAGGCGACGAUCCAUAGCUGGUCUGAGAGGACGAUCAGCCACACUGGAACUGAGACACGGUCCAGACUCCUACGGGAGGCAGCAGUAGGGAAUAUUGCACAAUGGGCGAAAGCCUGAUGCAGCCAUGCCGCGUGUGUGAAGAAGGCCUUAGGGUUGUAAAGCACUUUCAGUAAGGAAGAAAAAGCCGGGUUAAUACCUUGGUUUAUUGACAUUACUUACAGAAGAAGUACCGGCUAACUCCGUGCCAGCAGCCGCGGUAAUACGGAGGGUACAAACGUUAAUCGGAAUUACUGGGCGUAAAGCGCGCGCAGGUGGUUUAUUAAGUGGGAUGUGAAAGCCCUGGGCUUAACCUAGGAACUGCAUUCCAAACUGAUAGACUAGAGUACGAUAGAGGGGGGUAGAAUUCAGAGUGUAGCGGUGAAAUGCGUAGAUAUUCUGAGGAAUACCGGUGGCGAAGGCGGCCCCCUGGAUUGAUACUGACACUGAGGCGCGAAAGCGUGGGGAGCAAACAGGAUUAGAUACCCUGGUAGUCCACGCCGUAAACGAUG